AUUGAACGCUGGCGGCAGGCCUAACACAUGCAAGUCGAGCGGAUGGAGGGAGCUUGCUCCUGGAUUCAGCGGCGGAGGGGUGAGUAAUGCAUAGGAAUCUGCUUGGUAGUGGGGGCUAACGUCCGCAAACGGGCGCUAAUACCGCAGACGUCGUGAGGGAGAAACUGUUGGUUCUUCGGACCUCGCGCAAUCAGAUGAGCGUAGGUCGGAUUAGCUAGUUGGUGGGGUAGAGGCCUACCAAGGCGACGAUCCGUAACUGGUCUGAGAGGAUGAUCAGUCACACUGGAACUGAGACACGGUCCAGACUCCUACGGGAGGCAGCAGUGGUGAAUAUUGGACAAAGGGCGGAAGCCUGAUCCAGCCAUGCCGCGUGUGUGAAGAAGGUCUUCGGAUUGUGAAGCACUUUAAGUUGGGAGGAAGGGCAGUAAGUUAAUACCGUGCUGUUUUGACGUUACCAACAGAAUAAGCACCGGCUAACUUCGUG
rnacentral:rRNA from 1 species